CGCGACUUCCAUCCACUGCGUUUAAAUCGGCGAACGUGUCGGAAUAAAUUGCCCACGGGACGGCGUACUCGCGACUGGUUGGCCGAUACACGUGUAACUAGGCAGAAGCACACGCGAACGAGGCUGAUAAAAAGAGACACUGUUGCGAGAAAUAUGCAGUCGCGGCCGGCCGACUAGCACUCCGAUCGAGGAUACGAAUAGAACGUGAUAUUACGUAGAGCAAAGAAAUGCAGGCGGUACGCGCGACGCCGAAGAGACGUGUGUAAUUUGAAAAAAUUACGCUAUUUCAAUCGCGUUGGAAAAGUUUUGAAAUACUCUACCUACUGCGCGGGUGGGCGCAGAGAAUUCCUCGCGAAGAUGGAGCUAUUGAAAAGAUAGUAAUGCUCGUUAACAUCAACCACCCCUCGAAAAAGUCAAGCAUCGCCUGUGACACAGCCCCCGAUCCGACCUAGCUUUCAUAAAUCCAAAGAAACGCGUUAUCGCGACGGAAAACUCGGCUCGAGGGGGUCAUCGAGAGAAGAGGGCACUAAUCGACUCGGUUGUCACUUCGCAACACUGUAAUCUCUCUGGCCGCGGUUCCCCUUUGGCCGUCGUCCUUCCAGAAGCGGAGUACGCUCGGCGGCGAGGCGAGGAACGAGAAGAAAUAAGGAGAGACGGUGGAAAAAGAAAGGGAAAUCUCAUUCCGACCAAACCUACGCCGAAUAAUGCUAUAUUUAAAAUUAAGUGCAUCUGGAAAGUGAAAAAAAAAUGAUAAAUUUGAAUUAUUCAUGAC